rnacentral:rRNA from 1 species
AGAGUUUGAUCCUGGCUCAGGAUGAACGCUAGCUACAGGCUUAACACAUGCAAGUCGAGGGGCAGCAUUUUAGUUUGCUUGCAAACUAAAGAUGGCGACCGGCGCACGGGUGAGUAACACGUAUCCAACCUGCCGAUAACUCGGGGAUAGCCUUUCGAAAGAAAGAUUAAUAUCCGAUGGUAUAUUAAAACCGCAUGGUUUUACUAUUAAAGAAUUUCGGUUAUCGAUGGGGAUGCGUUCCAUUAGUUUGUUGGCGGGGUAACGGCCCACCAAGACAACGAUGGAUAGGGGUUCUGAGAGGAAGGUCCCCCACAUUGGAACUGAGACACGGUCCAAACUCCUACGGGAGGCAGCAGUGAGGAAUAUUGGUCAAUGGACGAGAGUCUGAACCAGCCAAGUAGCGUGAAGGAUGACUGCCCUAUGGGUUGUAAACUUCUUUUAUAUGGGAAUAAAGUAUUCCACGUGUGGGAUUUUGUAUGUACCAUAUGAAUAAGGAUCGGCUAACUCCGUGCCAGCAGCCGCGGUAAUACGGAGGAUCCGAGCGUUAUCCGGAUUUAUUGGGUUUAAAGGGAGCGUAGGUGGAUUGUUAAGUCAGUUGUGAAAGUUUGCGGCUCAACCGUAAAAUUGCAGUUGAAACUGGCAGUCUUGAGUACAGUAGAGGUGGGCGGAAUUCGUGGUGUAGCGGUGAAAUGCUUAGAUAUCACGAAGAACUCCGAUUGCGAAGGCAGCUCACUAGACUGCAACUGACACUGAUGCUCGAAAGUGUGGGUAUCAAACAGGAUUAGAUACCCUGGUAGUCCACACAGUAAACGAUGAAUACUCGCUGUUUGCGAUAUACAGUAAGCGGCCAAGCGAAAGCAUUAAGUAUUCCACCUGGGGAGUACGCCGGCAACGGUGAAACUCAAAGGAAUUGACGGGGGCCCGCACAAGCGGAGGAACAUGUGGUUUAAUUCGAUGAUACGCGAGGAACCUUACCCGGGCUUAAAU